rnacentral:rRNA from 1 species
UACGUAGGCAGCAAGCGUUGUUCGGAAUUACUGGGCGUAAAGCGUGCGCAGGCGGUUCGUUGUGUCGGCGGUGAAAGCCCCGGGCUUAACCUGGGAACGGCCGUUGAAACUGGCGAACUGGAGUGUGGCAGAGGGGGUGGAAUUCCGGCGGUGGUAGCAGUGAAAUGCGUAGAGAAUGCGGAGGAACACCGAUGGCGAAGGCAGCCCCUGGGCUGAACACAUGACGCCUCGAGGCACGAAGCGUGGGAGCAACAGGA